UUCCGGUGAUCCCGCCGGACCUGACUGCUAUCGGAUUGAUACUAAGCCAUGCGAGUCAUUGUAGUAAUACAAGGCAGACGGCUCAGUAACGCGUAGUCAAUCUAACCUAUGGACGGGGAUUACCUCGGGAAACUGAGGAUAAACCCCGAUAGAUCAUUAUACCUGGAACGGUUUAUGGUCCAAAUGAUUCGUCGCCGUAGGGUGGGACUGCGGUCUAUCAGCUUGUUGGUGAGGUAAUGGCCCACCAAGGCUAUAACAGAUACGGGCUCUGAGAGGAGAAGCCCGGAGAUGGGUACUGAGACACGGACCAGGCCCUAUGGGGCGCAGCAGGCGAGAAAACUUUGCAAUGUGCGAAAGCACGACAAGGUUAAUCCGAGUGUUUUCUGCUAAAGAAACCUUUUGUUAGUCCUAAAAACACUGAUGAAUAAGGGGUGGGCAAGUUCUGGUGUCAGCCGCCGCGGUAAAACCAGCACCUCAAGUGGUCAGGAGGAUUAUUGGGCCUAAAGCAUCCGUAGCUUGCUCUGUAAGUUUCCGGUUAAAUCCAUUAGCUCAACUAAUGGGCUGCCGGAAAAACUGCAAAGCUAGGAAGUGGGAGAGGUAGACGGUACUCGGUAGGAAGGGGUAAAAUCCUUUGAUCUAUUGAUGACCACCUGUGGCGAAGGCGGUCUACCAGAACACGUUCGACAGUGAGGGAUGAAAGCUGGGGGAGCAAACCGGAUUAGAUACCCGGGUAGUCCCAGCUGUAAACGAUGCAGACUCGGUGAUGCCCUGGCUUGUGGCCAGUGCAGUGCCGCAGGGAAGCCGUUAAGUUUGCCGCCUGGGAAGUACGUACGCAAGUAUGAAACUUAAAGGAAUUGGCGGGGGAGCACCACAAGGGGUGAAGCCUGCGGUUCAAUUGGAGUCAACGCCGGA
rnacentral:rRNA from 1 species